rnacentral:rRNA from 1 species
AGCGAACGCUGGCGGCAGGCCUAACACAUGCAAGUCGAACGGACCUUUCGGGGUUAGUGGCGGACGGGUGAGUAACACGUGGGAACGUGCCUUUAGGUUCGGAAUAGCUCCUGGAAACGGGUGGUAAUGCCGAAUGUGCCCUUAGGGGGAAAGAUUUAUCGCCUUUAGAGCGGCCCGCGUCUGAUUAGCUAGUUGGUGAGGUAAUGGCUCACCAAGGCUACGAUCAGUAGCUGGUCUGAGAGGAUGACCAGCCACAUUGGGACUGAGACACGGCCCAAACUCCUACGGGAGGCAGCAGUGGGGAAUCUUGCGCAAUGGGCGAAAGCCUGACGCAGCCAUGCCGCGUGGAUGAUGAAGGUCUUAGGAUUGUAAAAUCCUUUCACCGGUGAAGAUAAUGACGGUAUCCGGAGAAGAAGCCCCGGCUAACUCCGUGCCAGCCGCCGCCGUAA